UACGUAGGGGGCAAGCGUUGUCCGGAUUUAUUGGGCGUAAAGAGCGUGUAGGCGGCCACACAGGUCUGCUGUGAAAACUCGAGGCUCAACCUCGAGCUGUCGGUGGAAACCGUGUGGCUAGAGUCCGGAAGAGGAGAGUGGAAUUCCCGGUGUAGCGGUGAAAUGCGCAGAUAUCGGGAAGAACACCCGUGGCGAAGGCGGCUCUCCGGGACGGUACUGACGCUGAGACGCGAAAGCGUGGGGAGCGAACAGG
rnacentral:rRNA from 1 species